rnacentral:lncRNA from 1 species
ACAAGCCGGGUUAAAUAGUUGAGAAAUACGAAAUUAUGAGAAAAUUACCAAAAAUGGCAAAAUCCCGAAAUUAUACCAAAAUAAAAUAUUAAGUAAAAGAAGUAAGUUGUCAAAAAUUUGGCUCAAUUCGAGUCUUCUAACAUGUGGAAAAAAUGAAACGAAAUAUUACCAUAAAUAGUAAAAAAUAACUUAAAAUUGAAUUUUGGAAAGAAAAACAGUGGAUUUUGGACUCGAAAUUGACGUCCACCGAGCAUAGCUAAGUGGCCACAACGUCCACGCCGAAGAAAGCUUUCCGAAUUGGGGUCAUAAUAGCGAUUUUGAUAACCGUAGCCAAAGUUAUGGCCAAAUUACCAAAAACGCGUCAAAUCCCCCCCAAUUAAGAAAAUAAUGGCGAUUCACUUUCCAUCUUUGCGCCGAUCCGCCAUCUCAUGGUAUCUCAGCGCCAUCAUCGUGCUAUCUAAUAAAUUAGCAUCACUCGACUCGGAUCCUCCUGCAUCAGGUGCUUAGUAUGAGCCCUUUGUAUCCUAAAUGCUUAAAUCACCCACUCCAGGUUACAGUGAGGUAAUUUCUCUGUUGCAAGCCUUUGAAAUUCGCACUAGUAUUAAUGCACAUACCACUAGCAUCUAUGCCACUUUCUCAGCCGACAAAAUAGAGCCAAGACAAAUAAAGGUGGCUCACAUGGCAAUAACAAAUUCAGCCAUGGAAAAGGUAAGGGUCCGAAACAUUAUAAGAGCCAAAUACACGAUGAUGUACCUCCUACAAAAAAAAUGCAUCCAAAAAUUCGGUACAGUCUAAUAUAUCAAAUGUUUGUUGCCAAAUUUGUAAGAAAUAUUAGCAUGAUGCCUCUGUAUGUUGGUGCCGCUUCGAUCAAUUUGAUGGUGACACCGUUGAUCACGAAGCCCUUGUUGCUCUACAAAUUUGUGAUGCCAUUGAAGAUCAAGAAUGGACAACUGACACUAGUGCCUCAUCCCACAGGACCUCCAAUGUAGGUAUGUUACAUAAUCUUAAGCCUUACACUGGUAAUGAUCUUGUGAUGGUUGGAAAUGGCAUGUUAUUACCAAUCACAUAUAUUGGUCAAGCUAUGUUAUGCAAUUAGUUUUAUGCUUUAACUCUUGACAAUGUCUUACUCAUUCCAAACUUAGAACGAAAUCUUUUAUCUGUGGGACAACUAACCAAUGAUUAUCAUAUAAAUUGUGAAUUUAAUGGUGUUGGAUUCUCUAUUAAGGAAAAGGGGACAAACAAGAUUUUGCUAAGAGGAGUCAAGAGGGGUAACUUAUAUACCAUCAAGGCAUCACUGGAGGCUCAAUUUUCUGUGCGUUUCCAGGCGAUGGACAGUGUAGUUUGGCAUCAACAACCUGGUCAACCCCAACCUGUUGUUGUUCAAGCUUUGCGUUCAAAAGGUUUUUUACAUGUGCGAGGAAAAAAUAAAUUUAGGAUUUGUGAAAGUUAUCAAAUUGGUAAACUUAGCAAAUUACCUUUUAAACCUCGUUUUAAUAAUGAUUUUGGACUUUUUGAGAAAAUUCAUUGUGAUCUUUGGGGACCAUCCCCCACUUUAUCUACUGAUAAAUUCUCAUAUUAUACAUGUAUUGUUGAUGAUUAUAGUAGAUAUAUGUGGCUUGUUCCUUUAUGUAAAAAAUCUGAUUUUUUUUUUUUGGCACUUUCGUACCUUUGUUAACUAUAUC